rnacentral:rRNA from 1 species
UGGGGAAUAUUGGACAAUGGGGGAAACCCUGAUCCAGCAAUGCCGCGUGUGUGAAGAAGGCCUUCGGGUUGUAAAGCACUUUCAAUAGGGAAGAACAAGUUUGCGAAUAAUACUCGCGAACCUAGACGUUACCUAUAGAAGAAGCACUGGCUAACUCUGUGCCAGCAGCCGCGGUAAUACAGAGAGUGCAAGCGUUAAUCGGAAUUACUGGGCGUAAAGCGCACGUAGGUGGAUAUUUAAGUCGGAUGUGAAAUCCCUGGGCUCAACCCGGGAACUGCAUCCGAUACUGGAUAUCUAGAGUAUGGUAGAGGGAAGUGGAAUUUCCGGUGUAGCGGUGAAAUGCGUAGAUAUCGGAAAGAACACCAGUGGCGAAAGCGGCUUCCUGGACUAAUACUGACACUAAGGUGCGAAAGCGUGGGGAGCAAACA